ACGCUGCGGCGGCUUAAUACAUGCAAGUCGAACGGUAACAGGCCUGGCAACAGGUGCUGACGAGUGGCGCACGGGUGCGUAACACGUAUGCAACCUACCCUGUACUGUGGGAUAACCCUGAGAAAUCGGGGCUAAUACCACAUGGUAUUAUUGAUUGGCAUCGAUUAAUAAUUAAAGAUUUAUCGGUACGGGAUGGGCAUGCGCCCCAUUAGUUAGUUGGUAAGGUAACGGCUACCAAGGCCAUGAUGGGUAGGGGAUCUGAGAGGAUUAUCCCCCACACUGGUACUGAGACACGGACCAGACUCCUACGGGAGGCAGCAGUAAGGAAUAUUGGGCAAUGGAGGCAACUCUGACCCAGCCAUGCCGCGUGCAGGAAGACUGCCCUAUGGGUUGUAAACUGCUUUUCUGCGGGACUAAUCUCCUAUACGGGUUAUAGGAUUGCAUGUACCGCAGGAAUAAGCAUCGGCUAACUCCGUGCCAGCAGCCGCGGUAAUACGGAGGAUGCGAGCGUUAUCCGGACUUAUUGGGUUUAAAGGGUGCGUAGGCUGACAGAUAAGUCAGUGGUGAAAUAUCCCGGCUCAACCGGGGGGCUGCCAUUGAUACUGUUUGUCUGGAGUGUAUUGGAAGUUGGCGGAACGAGGGGUGUAGCGGUGAAAUGCAUAGAUAUUCCUCAGAACGCCGAUAGCGAAGGCAGCUGACUACGAUACAACUGACGCUGAGGCACGAAAGCGUGGGGAUCAAACAGGAUUAGAUACCCUGGUAGUCCACGCUGUAAACGAUGAUC
rnacentral:rRNA from 1 species